UGGGAAGAUAUCAUAACCCUUUAAUGGAGACAGACAAUCCCAUGUCAGAAGACUACCUGUAUUCAGAAAUCAAUAAAGAUCCAAGAGAUAACUAUCCUGCGAUUCCAAAUGGAGGUCCAAGAACAGAACCAAGUCCUGUAACGGAACAGUAAGUAU